AAUAAGAGCACACGGAGGAUGCCUAGGCGCCAGGAGCCGAUGAAGGACGUGGCGAACGACGAAAUGCCUCGGGGAGCCGUAAGCAGGCUUUGAUCCGGGGAUGUCCGAAUGGGGAAACCUGCGUAUCGUAAUAGAUACGUACCAUGCAGUGAAUACAUAGCUGCAUAGGAGGCAGACGAGGGGAACUGAAACAUCUAAGUACCCUCAGGAAAAGAAAACAAAAGUGAUUCCGUCAGUAGCGGCGAGCGAAAGCGGAUUAGCCCAAACCAGGGGGCUUGCCCCCUGGGGUUGUGGGACGUCAACGUGGGUUGAGCAGAGUAGGUGAAGCGGUCUGGAAAGGCCGGCCAGAGAAGGUAACAGCCCUGUAGCCGAAAUUCUGCGAAAGCCCU
rnacentral:rRNA from 1 species